rnacentral:miRNA from 1 species
UCGGAGUAUUUCAAGCAUGGC